rnacentral:misc_RNA from 1 species
UCCGGUUUAACACCGGCAGUCUCUCUAGAGUCCCCAACUGAAUGAUGGUAACUAAAGACAAGGGUUGCGCUCGUUAUUGGACUUAACCAGACAUCUUACGACACGAGCUGACGACAGCCAUGCAGCACCUAUCACCGAGUCACCGAAGUGACGUUUACAUCUCUGCAAACUUCCCGGGAUGUUAAGGGUAGGUAAGGUUCUGCGCGUUGCUUCGAAUUAAACCACAUACUCCACCGCUUGUGCGGGCCCCCGUCAAUUCCUUUGAGUUUUAGCCUUGCGACCGUACUCCCCAGGCGGGAUACUUAAUGCGUUAGCUUUGGUACUCAGGAGGUUAAUGUCCCAAACACCUAGUAUCCAUAGUUUACGGCGUGGACUAC